rnacentral:lncRNA from 1 species
UAGCUGUGUUCUUUUAAUUAUUGAUAUGUAUGCACCUCGGUGAUUAGUAGUGUGAGUUGAAUGGAGAAUAUACAUAAGCACUGGUUAGUUUGCACAUUCGCUAGGUGCUGUAGUAGACAGUGUACUCAAAUGAAGAGCAUAAACAGGGAACUCUGCAUAUGUGCAAAAACUCAAGUGAUGCUGGGAAAUGUGUGCAAACUUGACGGCAUAUUUCACACACUGGCUGGUCAUGGUGAGUUCACCACUUGGAAAACAUGUACGUUCUCUGGUCAGGUGUGAAAUGCUCAGAUUCACUAAUAUCCCUUAGAGGGCUAUACACAUUGACUGGUCAGUGUACACAAUUCCCAUUUGUUAAGAUAUUCUCCACAUUGUCUAGGGAGCGUGCACAAUUGCCAGCAUUUGUCAGACACAUUUUCCCAUGUUAACCAUAUUUCUGAAAUAUAGAUGCUUUUGUGAGUAGGGUUCAAUCUCUACAUAUCUUCCCCAUGUGGUUGCUAGAGAAUUUUAGGUACAUGAUUUAUCACUGCUCCUUCUUGCAACAGCUACAGUUAAGUAUACUGCCAUAUCUAUUCCCUUGUGCAAAUAUGGACUACUUACCUGCUCUUGGGGUGUUACGUCAUGUUCUCAAAUGCUCUGCUUACCCUCAUUCAAGGAGAUGUUGCCAUCCUACACAAUGUGAAUUGACACCAGAUUCUGCCCUGUCGCUACAUAGCCUCAUGGCUUGUAUGACACAAUUUUUGUCAUGCAGGAUGCCAACAUCUUUUAAGACAAGGGUGAGGAAACGUUAGUCCAACAACUUUGGGGUCGGGGGGCAGCAGCGGCGGAGGACGGGUUCCCCAUAUGCACAUCCUUUAUGCCAUUGUACCAACAGGUCAUUAAACACUGUAACAAUGUUCUACUUCAGACACUACUUAGACAAAACAACAUGGUUGCAUAUUAGCACACAGACCUACUUAGUCGUGCCAUUGUGUUUUGCUGCCAUAAAUACACUUUAAUGUAGUACUUUAAAUAGCUCCUUUGAGAUGAUAGUCCUCACACUGCACCAUUAUACCUAUAUGUUAAUGCGCUUUUAGAUAAUACCUGCCCGCUUUCACGUUCUUCAGGCCCAUAUUAAAAAAUCUAUCUACAAGACAGUAAGCUCUAGGAAGGCCUCAGCUCAGUAGUAGAGAACAUCCUUUGCAUGUUGACGAUCCCAGGUUAAUCCCUGGCAUCUCCAGGCAGGGCUGGGAAGGAUCCCUGUCUAAAACCACAGAGAGAGGCUGCCACUCAGUGGAGGCAAUACUGAGCUAGAUGGACCAGUAGUCUGACUAAGCAUAUGGCAACUUCACUUGCCUUCUAAUGUCUGCAAUUCCACAGCCGACAUCAUUGCACACUAAAUUACUCCAAAUCUGCAACAACUGGGCUGUCAAGCUUUACGAUAAUUUAUAAAUACAUCCCCUAAUUUUUGGCCCUGUUUCUCACACAUGUCAUCAAGGGUACUGUUUUACUCCAUAGCUACACCUUGCUUCUAGAGAGAAGUGUCAUUGCCUUUUAAUGCCCAGGUCGAAAUAAAGGAAACUGUCAUCCUUCCCACCCUUGGACAGAUUCUUUUGACUGUAGCUGCCAAUAUUGAUCUUGUGUGUGCAGCCCAUCCUAUUACAAAGCUCAUCCAGGUCACAGUUUAUCACAGAUACACUCACAACCAAGCAAAAACCUUCUCUGGUUGCAAUGUUUUCCAUGCUGUACACAGGGAUCCUCCUGAAUCUAGUUUUGGGCUGUAGCUCUUACCCCUUCCCCAGACACACUAAUUCAAGCUGCAAGCAAAUACAUGGGAAUAAUUCUAUAGAUAACACCCAUUCAGAAAGAGAUGCCACGAUUGUAAAUGGCUGUAUGAGAGAAAGUGCCUCCUUUUCAACACACUCUGCCCACCCUCCUCUGCAUAUAAUCCAUGGUGUUGUUUAUUAAUACCAUUCUUCAGCCAAACCUACAGGCUCUUUCUGGCAGUGCCAACACUGAUUCUCACCACCGGCCACUUUUUUCAUACAUGCUGUCUCUGUGUUCAUUCACACCCUCUCUCAUUUAUCUCUCACUGCCUGCCGCCCGCACCCUUGUUCCUUCCUGCAAAAAGCAGAGGAUUCUGGGACCAUUGCCGACCCACCCCCUUCCUCCAGGUGCUCCAGUUUCCAGAUCAAGCCAUUAAUGGAUACUUAUGAAAAGCUCCCCCCCCCCCGCCCCAUGCCCGGCUCACGCUCCACUAAAGAGCAAGAGAGUGUGUGGGCUUCACAAAACUGCCAGGCACAGCUGUGCUAGCAAAAGUGGCCUGUUGUCCGGGUUCCAGGAAACAGAGGUGAUCCAGCGCGAGGCAGAGGGUUUUGGCAGCUUUGCAUGGAAUCUGUGCACACACCAAAACAGCUGGGAAAGGGCCUUGCCAAUGGAGGGAAGAAAUGAAAGAGAGUUUGGGAGCAGCUGUUUGGGCAGGGAUUCUCCUUCACCUGGCACUGAGAGGCAAGUGCUAUAAAUUAAGAACGGAGUGGUUUAAGGUGGUAGAGUUUGGGGGGGAGGUAGAUUGCAGAACCCAGGAAGAUUUAGGCCACAAACACCUCACCUAUUAGAAGUUAGUAACUUAGGAGAAGGUUUCUAAAAUGAAAGGUAAUGAGGCUCAAGUCUCUUGUUAGACCCUGAGCCAGAGCAGCCAAAUUGAAGUUUGGCUGAAAUUAUAUAACUGAAAUGCACUCUGCACAUGCUUUAUCACUACUUCACAAACUGAGUAACAGAGGCUCUGGCUGAUCUCUGACUCGGCUUAAAAGUUGGGUAUGGUGAGGUGUGUAGGGCUGCAUAAAAGUAGCAGGUUAGAACUGGGAGAGAAAAGCCCAAAAUGGAGGUGGGAGGGAGGAGUAUUAACCUGGGAUUACCGGGCAUCAGCAGGGAGAGAUUUUGUGCGGGCAAGUCUUGAGUGUGUGCGCGCAUGUGUGGCUUCCAAAUUAAUUACAGUCAGAGAAGAGCCUGUGAGCGUCACUUGAUGGGAUUAAGGGUUUGUGGGAGGCGUGAAAUUGACGCAUGAAACCCUAGACCCUCUCAUCUCCCCUCUGGCCCUGGGAACCUGGUGAUUGGUUCCUCUUGGCUAAUAACUCCCCCCCCCCAUUUCCUUCCCUGGCAGCCUUUCUUGGUUCCCCACUUUUCCUCCCCAAAAAACCUGUCGCAAUCCAGGGGGAUUUUGCUCCUGCAGGCAGCUGGCAGGUGGAAAUGAAACCUGCCGACUUUGAUUAAACCUCUCUGAGGCGUGUGUGUCGUCUCAUCGGUGCUGUGUGUCUCAAAGAGAAGCAGGGGCUGAUCAUCCCAGCAUCACCUUCCCUCUUCCCCAAAUUAGGAUGCCUCACAACUUUCAACACCAACUGUUUGGAUUUAUUUAUUUAUAGUUUAGAAAGUGAAGGGGAUACACGGGCUUUAUAAAGAUGCCCAGUGGGCAGAGAAAGUGGAUACUGAUGAGUUUUUCCUCACUCUCCCCUAACUUGGGGUCACCCAAUUAUGCCAGUUGGUAGGAGGAUCAGGACAGAACGAAGAGUUGCCUCCGUGCAAUGCAUAAUUAACCUGUGGAAUUGCUGCUGCAAAAGGUGUGAGCAAUGUGUUUAGAAGGCUUUAAAGGGGGAUUAGAUUAAUUAAUGGAUGGCAGCCUUUGUGUGGAGCUUCCAGGUUCAGAGGCAGUGCCACUGAAUAACAGUUGCUGGGAAGUAUAAAUGUGGUGAAAGCUUUGUUUGUAGGCUUCCUGGCAGCAUCUGGCUAGCCAGUGUGCAAAAUGGGAGACUAGACUAGUUGAGCCUUUGGUCUGAUAUAAUGGAGCUCUUUUUUCAUUUAUUUCUUGCUUAAGAGAAUCAUGGAGCAGAGAGUGGGACCAAAAGGAUGUACAAUCUACAUAGGCAAAUCACCCCCCAACCCUUUUGCCGCAUUAUAUGGCAACCAGACGCAUCCACAAAGUCACAUCAAGGGGUCACCCAAUAUCAAACUGUUCAUUCAUUCAGUCAUUUCAUAACAUUCAUACACUGCUUGAUUGUAAGACAACAACAACAAUCUCAAUGUGUUUUA